UACGUAGGGUGCGAGCGUUGUCCGGAAUUAUUGGGCGUAAAGGGCGCGUAGGCGGUUUGUCGCGUCUGGUGUGAAAACCUCAGGCUCAACCUGGGGCGUGCAUCGGGUACGGGCAGACUAGAGUGCGGUAGGGGAGACUGGAAUUCCUGGUGUAGCGGUGGAAUGCGCAGAUAUCAGGAGGAACACCGAUGGCGAAGGCAGGUCUCUGGGCCGCAACUGACGCUGAGGAGCGAAAGCAUGGGGAGCGAACAGG
rnacentral:rRNA from 1 species